rnacentral:rRNA from 1 species
UACAGAGGGUGCGAGCGUUUAAUCGGAAUCACUGGGCGUAAAGGGCGCGUAGGCGGCUUUAUAAGUCGGGGGUGAAAGCCUGUGGCUCAACCACAGAAUUGCCUUCGAUACUGUAGAGCUUGAGACCGGAAGAGGUAAGUGGAACUGCGAGUGUAGAGGUGAAAUUCGUAGAUAUUCGCAAGAACACCAGUGGCGAAGGCGGCUUACUGGUCCGGUUCUGACGCUGAGGCGCGAAAGCGUGGGGAGCAAACAGG